rnacentral:rRNA from 1 species
CCUACGGGAGGCAGCAGUGGGGAAUCUUGCGCAAUGGGCGAAAGCCUGACGCAGCCAUGCCGCGUGGAUGAUGAAGGUCUUAGGAUUGUAAAAUCCUUUCACCGGUGAAGAUAAUGACUGUAGCCGGAGAAGAAGCCCCGGCUAACUUCGUGCCAGCAGCCGCGGUAAUACGAAGGGGGCUAGCGUUGCUCGGAAUUACUGGGCGUAAAGGGAGCGUAGGCGGACAUUUAAGUCAGGGGUGAAAUCCCGGAGCUCAACUUCGGAACUGCCUUUGAUACUGGGUGUCUUGAGUGUGAGAGAGGUAUGUGGAACUCCGAGUGUAGAGGUGAAAUUCGUAGAUAUUCGGAAGAACACCAGUGGCGAAGGCGACAUACUGGCUCAUUACUGACGCUGAGGCUCGAAAGCGUGGGGAGCAAACAGGAUUAGAUACCCUGGUAGUCCACGCCGUAAACGAUGAUUGCUAGUUGUCGGGGAGCUUGCUCUUCGGUGACGCAGCUAACGCAUUAAGCAAUCCGCCUGGGGAGUACGGUCGCAAGAUUAAAACUCAAAGGAAUUGACGG